GGUUGAUAACAGGUAGUUUAUUAAGAAAUAGUACUCAUCCAAGUCCACUUAGCCAGGCUUCAGGGAGGGAGAGAAAGGGCCCGCGUGAGCACCCUAACUACUUAAACCUUUUCCAUGUCACUCUGACCAAGCCCAAGUGGGCAUGGUCAGCAACACAUGUGUCCAGUCCCAAUCGGGUGUGGGUAUCCUUACAUGUGGCCAGCUCCAUAGCAUUACCUCUAAACAGGAUACUCCUAAAAUUCCACUUUUAGUCUAAAGAGGAUUAAAACUUAACAGUGUAAAUUAUCUAUAAUUAACAAUCGUAAAGGUGAAUUACAAGAAGGUUAAUAAUCCACUAAUAUCACAUCCUAACUAUGUCUAUUCCAACUAAACCCUAAAGUCAUCUGAAAGAGAUGUCCAAGCCUGAACACCUCUUCCAAACCCAACCCUAAACAAUAGGAAACUAGCCUUAACUAGGUGUACAUUAUCCUUAGUGACAACAGUGGGGAAAGGGAGUGUAGUAUUCUCCAAGUUACUUCUUGCUGAAAUGGGACGACUAUAGCCUCAUGGGGUCCUGUAGGAAGAAAAUGUUAAUGUAGUGAAAGUCAUGAGUGGAUUAUAUGAAGUCUGUGUUUGAUGGGAGAUGCUUUAUUGAAGGUCUAGGUUGGAGUCCUUAUAUUGAUUGAAGUUCUUGUGUUGAUUGGAAUCAGUAGCCGAAGCUCUAGCCAGAGUGUCAGUUCAAACGAAUCAAGUUGGAUCCAAUCGACUCAAUGAAGUGUGGCCCGUUUUCUUUCUGGAGAGUUAAAGGAUUGCUGUUAGGCGUUGUUUUUAUUGGCUGUGUGGAACUCAAAUAUAAAUGUUAGCAGAGAAAUUUUUACUUUUAUAUGUAUGCAAACCAGGAAAGGCAACAAUGGGAAAAUAACAAUUAUGAGAGAAUGUAUACUUUGAGUGAAAUAUCCAAGAAAAGACAAACGGCAGUCCCCAAUUUUUGUCUGAUUCUGUAUUACAUCAAUUGGCUUCUUGAUACAAUACAGAAACUCUGAAUUUUAUUUUAACAACAUGCUUGGAUUUAGAGGCGGAGAGCCAAAUCCAACUCUAAAUACAGCAUUGUGUUAAUUGAAUAGGGACUGGGAAAUAAAAAGAAAUAGAUUUAGAGGAAUAUGCAGAGUUUACCAUAUGGUACAUUCCUUUUGUUUGAUGGUUAUAGCUACCUUCUCUUCUUUAGGCAUACACCCAUGCAGUAUCCCUUUGCUUUCUGGAGAUGAAUUUCCUGUGAAAAUAAAAACAAAACACUUACCUUUCCUUUGUGAGGCUGCCAUACAGUUUAUGAGAUAUACCUUGGUGGAUCAUUUCUCCUCAUCAAGAGGUUUUGCUUUUUCUACUCGAAUCUUGAUCAACUUUGAUGGUAUCCAAAGUUUUUCUUCUCCUGUGGAAACAAAGGCAAAACCCCUUCCCCAACAUAACACAUGUCUUGGUUUCCAUACAGAGGUCAAUACAUCUUUAAAGUAUACCGGCUGAUUCAGUUCAGCAUUUUUUUCUGUAGUCCAGUGUCUUUCUGCAGCUGUUUGUCCUUUCUUAUUAGCAUUAAGAAAGUUUAGUGUUAAUAAAGCAUUAUGUAAC
rnacentral:lncRNA from 1 species